UCGGUGAUGACAUUCCAAUCAAUGCACGUGUUAGACUGCUGAUGCUGGUGAUGCGAACAGAAGUCUGAGU